AGCCACGGAAACAGACUCUUUGCAAAAACAACGCCGUCAGGGCCGGGUGCAGAAGUGAGAGAAUAAAUUAAGACAGGGAGGGGCCGGCAGCACCUGGGAGUCCAAGCAGCUUUUCCAGGAGGUGAGAGUCUGGCUGAGUCAUGAAUGCACCGUGUGCAACUAGGACCUUCUCCAACUCCAAAAGGGCCAAGCAAGACCCUGCCUGACAUCACAUGCAAUCACACCCCCUCAAAAGGAUCAUGGGGUUUCCCGCUGUGGUCCCACUGCACCGGGACAAAUCCAGCUGAAGCCACCGGGACAAAUCCAGCUGAAGCCUCCGGGACACCCAACGGAAGAAGCUGUCGCCUGCGGCUGGCCGGGGCUCCCAUGGGCACUCGGAGAGGGCUGCGAGAGGCCCGGGAGCGACAUCCUCGCGAGCCAGCAGCCCAGCAGUUAACAGGCCUGGGGCGAGCAGCGACUGCCCCAGGAAUUAAAGCGCCCGCGUCUGCCUGUCGCUGUGAGACCUCUGGUCAAUAAACGUCCUAUUCAGAAGCA